UACGUAGGGUGCAAGCGUUAAUCGGAAUUACUGGGCGUAAAGCGUGCGCAGGCGGCUUUGCAAGACAGAUGUGAAAUCCCUGGGCUCAACCCAGGAACUGCGUCCGAUACUGGUGGGCUCGAAUCCGGGAGAGGGAUGUGGAAUUCCAGGUGUAGCGGUGAAAUGCGUAGAUAUCUGGAGGAACACCGGUGGCGAAGGCGACAUCCUGGACCGGUAUUGACGCUGAGGCGCGAAAGCCAGGGGAGCAAACGGG
rnacentral:rRNA from 1 species